rnacentral:rRNA from 1 species
UCCGUAGGUGAACCUGCGGAGGGAUCAUUACACAAAUAUGAAGGCGGGCUGGAACCUCUCGGGGUUACAGCCUUGCUGAAUUAUUCACCCUUGUCUUUUGCGUACUUCUUGUUUCCUUGGUGGGUUCGCCCACCACUAGGACAAACAUAAACCUUUUGUAAUUGCAAUCAGCGUCAGUAACAAAUUAAUAAUUACAACUUUCAACAACGGAUCUCUUGGUUCUGGCAUCGAUGAAGAACGCAGCGAAAUGCGAUAAGUAGUGUGAAUUGCAGAAUUCAGUGAAUCAUCGAAUCUUUGAACGCACAUUGCGCCCUUUGGUAUUCCAAAGGGCAUGCCUGUUCGAGCGUCAUUUGUACCCUCAAGCUUUGCUUGGUGUUGGGCGUCUUGUCUCUAGCUUUGCUGGAGACUCGCCUUAAAGUAAUUGGCAGCCGGCCUACUGGUUUCGGAGCGCAGCACAAGUCGCACACUCUAUCAGCAAAGGUCUAGCAUCCAUUAAGCCUUUUUUUCAACUUUUGACCUCGGAUCAGGUAGGGAUACCCGCUGAACUUAAGCAUAUCAAUAAGCGGAGGA